UACGUAGGGGGCUAGCGUUGUCCGGAUUUAUUGGGCGUAAAGAGCGUGUAGGCGGCCAAGCAGGUCAGCUGUGAAAACUCGAGGCUCAACCUCGAGACGUCGGUUGAAACCGUGUGGCUAGAGUCCGGAAGAGGAGAGUGGAAUUCCCGGUGUAGCGGUGAAAUGCGCAGAUAUCGGGAAGAACACCCGUGGCGAAGGCGGCUCUCUGGGACGGUACUGACGCUGAGACGCGAAAGCGUGGGGAGCGAACAGG
rnacentral:rRNA from 1 species